rnacentral:rRNA from 1 species
GUCCACGCCGUAAACGUUGGGAACUAGGUGUGGGCCUCAUUCCACGAGGUCUGUGCCGCAGCUAACGCAUUAAGUUCCCCGCCUGGGGAGUACGGCCGCAAGGCUAAAACUCAAAGGAAUUGACGGGGGUCCGCACAAGCGGCGGAGCAUGUGGAUUAAUUCGAUGCAACGCGAAGAACCUUACCCAAGGCUUGACAUACACCGGAAACACCCAGAGAUGGGUGCCCCGCAAGGUCGGUGUACAGGUGGUGCAUGGUUGUCGU